rnacentral:lncRNA from 1 species
UUAUGGCCUCUUUUUCUUCUUUCCAUAUGAUGUCUUAAAGCUAAUGAGUACUGAUGGAUUUUAAUUACUAUAUUCUUAUGGUUGUCUUCUUAUUUUUCAUGAUGAUGAUCUACAUUUUGGCUUCCGAUCUAUGUUAUUUAUCUUUAGCAUUUGCAGGCUGUGUGAUUGUUGCUCUUUUAUUUUACAUUCAUCAUGGUGGGAUUUGAGUAUGUUUUGGUCUUUUUCAUAUUAGAUUCUAUUAUUUAGAACAUGUUGCUUAGUUUUGUAUGAUGGAUGCUUGAUGGCGUUGCUUGGUUCUAUUAUCUUUC